CAAGCUGGCAACAGCAACCUGCUUUGGGUCCACUGCCCUUAUGCGGGAGUUCUGUCUUCACUCUAUUUCACUCUAUUAAAUCUUGCAACUGCACUCUUCUGGUCUGUAUUUUGUUAAGGCUCGAGCUGAGUUUUUGCUGGCCAUCCACCACUGCUGUUUGCCGCCAUCGCAGACCCACCGCUGCUGACUUCCAUCCCUCCGGAUCCAGCAGGGUGUCCGCUGUGCCCCUGAACCAGCGAGAAGCCCAUUGCCACUCCCAGUCGGGCUAAAGGCUUGCCAUUGUUCCUGCACAGCUAAGUGCCUGGAUUCAUCCUAAUCAAGCUGAACACUAGUCACUGGGUUCCACGGUUCUCUUGCGUGACCCACGGCUUCUAAGAGAGCUAUAACACUCACCGCAUGGCCCAAGAGUCCAUUCCUUUAAAUCUGUGAGGCCAAGAACCCCAGGUCAGAGAACACGAGGCUUGUCACCAUCUUGGAAGUGGCCCACCACCAUCUUGAGAGCUCUGGGAGCAAGAACCCCCCGGUAACAUUUUGGCGACCACAAAGGGACCUCCAAAAGCGGUGAGUAAUAUUGGACCACUUUCGCUUGCUAUUCUGUCCUGUCCUUCCUUAGAAUUGGAGGAAAACACUGGGCACAUGUUGGCCAGUUAAAAACGAUUAGGAUGGCCACCGGACUUAAGACUCAGGUGUGAGGCUCUCUGGAGAAGGGCUUUCUAACAGUCCCCGGCUCUUCUGGGUUGGGGACACUGGUCUGCCUGGAGCCACCUUCAACUUCCAAUUUUCUUGGGGAAGCCGAGGGCCGGCUAGAGGCAGAAAGCUAUCGUCCCGAACUCCCGGCAGUAGCCGGUUGAUAUCAUGGCGCAGCCAGAAGGCUCUACACCACAGUCGGUAAGCCCCUACCUUUCCUUCUGACCCAUACCUCCUGGGUCCCGACCACCACUUCCUUGAAAGUGUAGCCCCAAACUUCUCCUUACCUCUGGAUCUACUUCCUCUGGUCCUGGUCUCCUAGGUACUAGUGGUUCAGACUUUCAUUUCCUCUAGCAAGUUGUAUCUCCAAAGGGAUCUAAGGAAGCUCUAGGCUGCGUCCUUAGGCAUCUAGGCUGCAAACCCAGGGAAUCUUAGCCCUGGUGUCCCUCCCAAGUUAGGUAUACAGCUCUCAAAAUGGGCAGUUAUGUGGGACCCAUUCCCUACCACACUUGCCAGGGUCCCAAGUUUGUAGUGGCUAAGAGAGAGAGAGACAGGAAGAGAGAGAGAGAGAAAGAGAGACAGGGAGUGAGAGAGAUGGGGGGGAGGGGGGAAAGAGACGGGGUGAGAGAGACGGGGAGAGAGAGAGACAAAGAGGGAGUCAAAGAGAAAAAGAAAGAAAAGGAUAAAAAAAAAAAAGUGUGUCCUGGCCGGGCGCGGUGGCUCAAGCCUGUAAUCCCAGCACUUUGGGAGGCCAAGACAGGCAGAUCACGAGGUCAGGAGAUCGAGACCAUCCUGGCUAACACGGUGAAACCCUGUUUCUGCUAAAAAAAUACAAAAAACUAGCCAGGCGAGGUGGUGGGCGCCUGUAGUCCCAGCUACUCGGGAGGCUGAGGCAGGAGAAUGGCGGGAACCCAGGAGGUGGAGCUUACAGUGAACCGAGAUCCGGCCACUGCAGUCCAGCCUGGGUGACAGAGCAAGACUCCGUCUCAAAAAAAAAAAAAAAAAAA
rnacentral:lncRNA from 1 species